GAUGAAGAACGCAGCAAAAUGCGAUAAGUAAUGUGAAUUGCAGAAUUCAGUGAAUCAUCGAAUCUUUGAACGCACAUUGCGCCCGCCAGUAUUCUGGCGGGCAUGCCUGUUCGAGCGUCAUUACAACCCUCAGGCCCCCGGGCCUGGCGUUGGGGAUCGGCGGAAGCCCCCUGCGGGCACAACGCCGUCCCCCAAAUACAGUGGCGGUCCCGCCGCAGCUUCCAUUGCGUAGUAGCUAACACCUCGCAACUGGAGAGCGGCGCGGCCACGCCGUAAAACACCCAACUUCUGAAUGUUGACCUCGAAUCAGGUAGGAAUACCCGCUGAACUUAAGCAUAUCAAUAAGCGGAGGA
rnacentral:misc_RNA from 1 species